rnacentral:rRNA from 1 species
GGCUGCAGUACUCUGACUGUACUAAGGUAGCGUGAUGUAUGUUUUCUUAAUUAGAAAUCUGUUCAAAGAAUGAUAUGGGGAGACUCUCUUUCUUUUAGAUUAAAUAAACUUAAAAUUUAAGUGAAAAUUCUUAACUCUUUAAAAAAGACGAGAAGACCCCACAAAUCUUAAUUUAUUUACAUGGGGACUAUUGAGUAUUCUAAUAGAUCUAAUCUUUAUUCUUUGCUAAGUUACUUUGGGGAUAACAGGGUAAAGGACCUGGAGAGUUCAUAUCGAUAGGUUCAUCUACUACCUCGAUGUUGGAUUAUCUUAUCAUCUAUGUUGUAGCAGCAUAGAUUGUUAGUCUGUUCGACUAAUAAAAAGUUACGUGAUCUGAGUUC